ensembl:lncRNA
AUUUGAGCCCCUGCUCCCGAGGAACUCUCUUUACGUCCCUGUGUUUGUUCUGUAAUGUCUUUCAAAGUGUGUUAUUUAAUAUUGACCCAAUGUGGCCAAGUGGGGCCUGAGGUUGGUUAAAACAUUAGUUAUUGAUGGACAUUCACCAGCAUUGCUCAGUCAUUUUCAGCAAUCAGUUUCUAGCUCAGUAGGUAAGUGUUUGUCUGGUUGUUUUUUUUUAAUUAUUUUCACUAUUAUUAUUAUUAUUAGUUUACUGCAUUUUCUCUUUCCCUGAUGAAUGCCAUUGACUGGUAUUGGUCUAAUUUUUGGGGUGAAAUGAGUUAAACUAUGAUCUGGUUGUGACAUGUUUCUGCCUGGUAGGCUGCUUGUUGCAUCAUAGUGUGGUCACGAUUAAUAGUUUAAUUAAUCUAUAAAUCAUAGCAGUACUUUUUUUUUAAAUGGCCUCCAUUGUGACAGUACCCAUGUACAGAGGUGGAAAGAGUACAAAAAUAUUCUACUCAAGUAAAAGUACCAUUACAUAAAUGAAAUUUUACUUAAAGGCAGGGUAGGUAAAAAAUGUAUAAAAAACUUUUUUUCCAAAUUUGUUCAAACUUUAUAUAUAUAUAUCAAUACUUAAUUAAAAUGUAAGUACUCUGAAAAAGAAAGUAUAAAAAUCGAGUGUCUGUAGACGUCUCACGACUGUUUUAAAGACACUCAUUAUUUCCAUUCACUCCACCCCCUCCCUUCUGGGCUCCUUUCCUAUAGAUUAUUUAUCGUCUCUACUACGGCUCGCUAAGUAAUGUUAUGUUAGCUAUAUUACGCAGCUACGUGUGCUAAUGACACAUGCUUCAUGAAAAAAAUAAACAAAAAAAUAUGUAUGAUCAAAAUACAAAAAGAAAGAUUUACCUGUCCAGCAGAAAUAAAGCCAUCAAGGAGUCACUUUUCAGCCCCUUGAGUUCCCUCAGUUCUCGCCAUCGCUGGAAAGCCACGCCGAUAUAACUCGCGUUUUAUUUCUUUGUUUAUCCAAAGACUUUUUGUUCAUUGCCUUUUCUUGUACUGUUACUGUCUUCCUUUUUUUGCCUGGUUUGCCUUCAGUAACUGCAUAGGCCGGUACUGUGAAUUUUGCUUGCUGUUUCUCUGCCAUUGUUUUGGUAUUCCUAGGAUCCGUGCCUCUUGAAUUGCUCAAAUCAAACAUGCGCGCGCAAGUGGGCAGGUCAUGUGUGGCAAAAGGGUGGUUGCCAUGGUUGCGAGAGAGUGACAGUCGCCUAAGCCAAUCCUAUGUUUCGUCCCGAAUGGAAAUAAUGAGCUGUGUUUAAUACAGAUUAAACGGUCUACAGUCACUCGAUUUUUAUACUCUUUUUAUCAGAGUACUUACAUUUUAAUUAUGCAUUGAUAUAUAUAGAAAGUUUAAACAAAUUUGGAAGAAAGUUGUUUAUAAAUUUUUUACCUACCCUGCCUUUAACUAUUUAUUGAAUGCUUUAAACAUUUUGCUGUUGUCGCUGUUUUAUUAAAGGAAUUUAAAAUUGCUACUUGCUUUACUCGAAAACACCCUUUACCCUGGUAAAAUCACUGUCACACAUUGUUUUAAGUGGCUAAUUGCUGUAAAAC